AGUUUGCACUCGUUUGAUCUUUGUUGACGACCACAUCAAGAGUGAUGUCUUGCCAUGCCCUCACAGGAGCAACAUCCUCUUUCGUGGUGUAGUUUGUGGUCUGAAUUGCUUUCUUCCUUGACGAACCAGAGGGUUGAAAUUGAUCCAGUUCAACCUAUUUGCCCUCCACAUGCAAUUGAUCAAAGUGACCCACCGAUUCCCCAUCAAGAACGAACUAUAGGUCGCAAUUGAAUCAUCCAUCGUUACUAAACGUCGAUCCUCCCAAAUGCACAAAUUCAUUACUACACACACAUACUGCACAAUUGCCACCAUUCUUCCAUCAUCACGUUGCAGUUAGUCAGAACAGUCUAAAGAGAAGGAAGGUUUUUUUUACCCCAUCGGUAAAUCUCCGAGUGCAACGUAGUGGAUACGCGCCCGAGUUUCGCCCUCCCUGGGAACAAAGGGGAGAGGGGGGACGCGGGACGACCCCGACGCACUUGCCUUCUUCCUUCGAUUCUUCACCGUGGAGCAUGUGGCGGAGGCCGACGCCCGGAGUUAACGCAUUAGUGGCAGCAUAGGGUUUGUCACUUUUGCACCCCAUUGAUGACAGGGUGGAGAAAGUGCUGGCCUAGGCGGUGGCAGGUUGUCGUCGAGGCCGGCGGAGGAGCGGGAAUCGCCCAGGAGGAGGAGGAUUCCAUAACGUUGACAUCAUCUGUGGGGUUGUGGGCGUCCGGAGACGGUGCCACAACGAGGGAGGAGUGUUGCGGCGAGAAGAGGAGCGGGGGGCGAAAUGUCACUCGCGCCAAACCGUUUUCCAAAUGGAGUGUGCUCCACAGAUCUCACCACAGCCUUCAAAUAUGGAGGGUCACGACUCGAUUUGAAGCGAUCCCCAACAUUUAUGCCACUGAAGCGAAGGAGGCGAUUCUGCUAGACCCGCUUUUUUCAACCAAAAUCGCCUGGCGUUCCUGCGUUCUGUCUCAUCUCCUCUCUUGUGUUUCUACCAUCUCUUGUUGAGAUAAGAGCCCGUCCCCUGUGGCUAAGCAUCUCCAUCGCGGACACUUGCGAGUCCACUCCCGGAAUUUCUUUGGCAGCGUACACUGUACAGCGCCUAGAGCUUUGAUGUUUUAGCAUGGAAUAAAAAUCGAGAGAUAUCUGUUGCCAAUGGAUUGGACGGUGAAAGGGGUGGGCUAGCUACCAUCAUCACCGGCCACCUGUUUCUUCUCUGUUGCUUUACUUGCACGGCUGCAACACCAACUCCUUCAGCUUUCACUUUCGGCCUAUAUGACGCUCUUCUACUCCAAGCAACAGGUCGGUCAAGAUUCGUGCCCGUUAAAAGCAGACAGGAAGGAAGAAGGCUCCGCCUCAUCAAGUGAGGGGGUGCCUCUGAGUUGGAUGCCAUGGUGCCGUGGAGGCUGGAGGCCCGCCUGGCGGAGACGGUGAGGGCGGCGCUCCUCGGCUGGCUCUUCUUCUGCAUCACCGUCGCCAGCGAUGUCGCACAUGCGCUCAGAAGCAGCGAUCUCUCCAUCUAAGACCGGCCACGUUCGACAUGGCCAAGACCGACUCUGUGCCUACAAAGUGGCAGUUCAUUGGGCGCACAGGAAGAAAAUUUAUUUACAGCAGUGUAACCAGUCAGUGAGUUCAUCCAUGAGAGAAUGAGUUCGAUGUAAAGGUGAAAUAUUCAUAUAGAUUAGAUGUAAAAUCUUGUGUCAAACAGAGAAAUACUGGCUAUUUGCUCAAA